GGCGCUGUGGCUUAGUUGGUCAAAGUGCCUGUCUAGUAAACAGGAGAUACUGGGUUCAAAUCCCAGCAGUGCCU
rnacentral:tRNA from 1 species